rnacentral:rRNA from 1 species
UACGUAGGGGCUAGCGUUAUCCGGAUUUACUGGGCGUAAAGGGUGCGUAGGCGGUCUUUCAAGUCAGGAGUGAAAGGCUACGGCUCAACCGUAGUAAGCUCUUGAAACUGUAAGACUUGAGUGCAGGAGAGGAGAGUGGAAUUCCUAGUGUAGCGGUGAAAUGCGUAGAUAUUGGGAAGAACACCGGUGGCGAAGGCGACUUGCUGGGCAGCAACUGACGCUGAGGCGCGAAAAGCCAGGGGAGCAAACGGGAUUAGAUACCCUGGUAGUCCCUGA